CUGCAUGUGGAGAUGUCUGCUUGACCUUUGGGAGCAGGAAUGCGCCCACAACCUGCUACAUGAACAAAGGAGUUCUCAGGGCCGCCAGCCGUGCAGUAGAGGUUGAGUGGUAGUGUAGUCCGUCCUCCUACAUGA
ensembl:snoRNA small Cajal body-specific RNA 18